rnacentral:rRNA from 1 species
AGUGAACGCUGGCGGUAGGCCUAACACAUGCAAGUCGAACGGCAGCACAGUAAGAGCUUGCUCUUACGGGUGGCGAGUGGCGGACGGGUGAGGAAUACAUCGGAAUCUACUUUUUCGUGGGGGAUAACGUAGGGAAACUUACGCUAAUACCGCAUACGACCUACGGGUGAAAGCAGGGGAUCUUCGGACCUUGCGCGAUUGAAUGAGCCGAUGUCGGUUUAGCUAGUUGGCGGGGUAAAGGCCCACCAAGGCGACGAUCCGUAGCUGGUCUGAGAGGGUGAUCAGCCACACUGGCACUGAGACACGGUCCAGACUCCUACGGGAGGCAGCAGUGGGGAAUAUUGGACAAUGGGCGCAAGCCUGAUCCAGCCAUACCGCGUGGGUGAAGAAGGCCUUCGGGUUGUAAAGCCCUUUUGUUGGGAAAGAAAAGCAGCAGGUUAAUACCCCGCUGUUCUGACGGUACCCAAAGAAUAAGCACCGGCUAACUUCGUG